CAGCAGCCGCGGGAAUACGUAGGGUGCAAGCGUUAAUCGGAAUUACUGGGCGUAAAGCGUGCGCAGGCGGUCCGUUAAGACAGAUGUGAAAUCCCCGGGCUUAACCUGGGAACUGCAUUUGUGACUGGCGGGCUAGAGUAUGGCAGAGGGGGGUAGAAUUCCACGUGUAGCAGUGAAAUGCGUAGAGAUGUGGAGGAAUACCGAUGGCGAAGGCAGCCCCCUGGGCCAAUACUGACGCUCAUGCACGAAAGCGUGGGGAGCAAACAGGAUUAGAUACCCGUGUAGUCCCUGUCUCUUAUAC
rnacentral:rRNA from 1 species